rnacentral:misc_RNA from 1 species
UACGGAGGGGGCUAGCGUUGUUCGGAAUUACUGGGCGUAAAGCGCACGUAGGCGGAUGUUUAAGUCAGGUGUGAAAUCCCGCAGCUUAACUGCGGAACUGCCUUUGAUACUGCAUAUCUAGAGUCCGAGAGAGGUAAGUGGAACUCAUAGUGUAGAGGUGGAAUUCGUAGAUAUUAGGAAGAACACCAGUGGCGAAGGCGGCUUACUGGCUCGGAACUGACGCUGAGGUGCGAAAGCGUGGGUAGCAAACAGG